CGUGUAGGCGGAGCAGCAAGUCAGAAGUGAAAUCUCUGGGCUCAACCCAGAAACUGCUUUUGAAACUGUUGCCCUUGAGUAUCGGAGAGGCAGGUGGAAUUCCUAGUGUAGCGGUGAAAUGCGUAGAUAUUAGGAAGAACACCAGUGGCGAAGGCGGCUUACUGGACAGUAACUGACGUUGAGGCUCGAAAGCGUGGGAGCAAACA
rnacentral:rRNA from 1 species